UACGAAGGGGGCUAGCGUUGCUCGGAAUCACUGGGCGUAAAGCGCACGUAGGCGGCUUCUUAAGUCAGGGGUGAAAUCCUGGAGCUCAACUCCAGAACUGCCUUUGAUACUGAGGAGCUUGAGUCCGGGAGAGGUGAGUGGAACUGCGAGUGUAGAGGUGAAAUUCGUAGAUAUUCGCAAGAACACCCGUGGCUAAGGCGGCUCUCUAGUACGGUACUGACGCUGAGACGCGAAAGCGUGGGGAGCGAACAGG
rnacentral:rRNA from 1 species